rnacentral:rRNA from 1 species
CAGUCGCCGCGGGAAUACGUAGGGUGCAAGCGUUAUCCGGAAUUAUUGGGCGUAAAGAGCUCGUAGGCGGUUUGUCGCGUCUGCUGUGAAAACUGGAGGCUCAACCUCCAGCCUGCAGUGGGUACGGGCAGACUAGAGUGCGGUAGGGGAGACUGGAAUUCCUGGUGUAGCGGUGGAAUGCGCAGAUAUCAGGAGGAACACCGAUGGCGAAGGCAGGUCUCUGGGCCGCAACUGACGCUGAGGAGCGAAAGCAUGGGGAGCGAACAGGAUUAGAUACCCCCGUAGUCCCUGUCUCUUAUAC